rnacentral:rRNA from 1 species
AAAUGAAUUGACGGGGGCCCGCACAAGCGGUGGAGCAUGUGGUUUAAUUCGACGCAACGCGAAGAACCUUACCUGGCCUUGACAUGUUGGGAACUUGGCAGAGAUGCCUUGGUGCCUUCGGGAACCCAAACACAGGUGCUGCAUGGCCGUCGUCAGCUCGUGUCGUGAGAUGUUGGGUUAAGUCCCGUAACGAGCGCAACCCUUGUCCCUAGUUGCCAGCACUUCGGGUGGGAACUCUAGGGAGACUGCCGGUGACAAACCGGAGGAAGGUGGGGAUGACGUCAGGUCAUCAUGGCCCUUACGGCCAGGGCUACACACGUGCUACAAUGGCGCGCACAGAGGGCUGCAAACCCGCGAGGGGGAGCCAAUCUCACAAAACGCGUCGUAGUCCGGAUCGCAGUCUGCAACUCGACUGCGUGAAGUCGGAAUCGCUAGUAAUCGCGGAUCAGAAUGCCGCGGUGAAUACGUUCCCGGGCCUUGUACACACCGCCCGU